rnacentral:rRNA from 1 species
AACGUAGGUGGCGAGCGUUAUCCGGAUUUACUGGGCGUAAAGGGUGUGCAGGCGGGCUGUUAAGUGGUGUAUGAAAUCGCCCGGCUCAACCGGGCGAGGUUAUGCCAGACUGGCAGUCUAGAGAGCGAGAGAGGGACGUGGAAUUCCGGGUGUAGUGGUGAAAUGCGUAGAGUAUCGAGAGGGAACACCUGCGGCGAAGGCGGGUUGCUGGGCUGACACUGACGCUGAACUGCGAAAGCUAGGGGAGCGAACGGG